CGAAAGCCUGACGGAGCAACGCCGCGUGAGGGAUGGAGGCCUUUGGGCUGUAAACCUCUUUUCUCAAGGAAGAAGAUCUGACGGUACUUGAGGAAUAAGCCACGGCUAAUUCCGUGCCAGCAGCCGCGGUAAUACGGGAGUGGCAAGCGUUAUCCGGAAUUAUUGGGCGUAAAGCGUCCGCAGGCGGCCGUUUAAGUCUGUUGUUAAAUCGUGGAGCUCAACUCCAUCACGGCAAUGGAAACUGUUCGGCUUGAGUAUGGUAGGGGCAGAGGGAAUUUCCGGUGUAGCGGUGAAAUGCGUAGAUAUCGGGAAGAACACCAGUGGCGAAAGCGCUCUGCUGGGCCAUUACUGACGCUCAUGGACGAAAGCCAGGGGAGCGAAAGGGAUUAGAUACCCCUGUAGUCCUGGCCGUAAACGAUGAACACUAGAUGUUGGGGGAAUCGACCCCCUCGGUGUCGUAGCUAACGCGUUAAGUGUUCCGCCUGGGGAGUACGCACGCAAGUGUGAAACUCAAAGGAAUUGACGGGGGCCCGCACAAGCGGUGGAGUAUGUGGUUUAAUUCGAUGCAACGCGAAGAACCUUACCAAGGCUUGACAUCCUGCGAAUCUCUAAGAAAUUAGAGAGUGCCUUCGGGAACGCAGUGACAGGUGGUGCAUGGCUGUCGUCAGCUCGUGUCGUGAGAUGUUGGGUUAAGUCCCGCAACGAGCGCAACCCACGUUUUUAGUUGCCAGCAUUCAGUUGGGCACUCUAGAAAGACUGCCGGUGACAAACCGGAGGAAGGUGUGGACGACGUCAAGUCAUCAUGCCCCUUACGCCUUGGGCUACACACGUACUACAAUGCUGCGGACAAAGAGUAGCGAUCUUGCGAAAGUUAGCUAAUCUCAUAAACCGUGGCUCAGUUCAGAUCGUAGGCUGCAACUCGCCUACGUGAAGGAGGAAUCGCUAGUAAUCGCAGGUCAGCAUACUGCGGUGAAUACGUUCCCGGGCCUUGUACACACCGCCCGUCACACCAUGGAAGUUGGCCAUGCCCGAAGUCGUUACUCUAACCUUUUGGAAGAGGGCGCCGAAGGCAGGGCUAAUGACUGGGGUGAAGUCGUAACAAGGUAGCCGUAGCGGAAGCUGCGGCUGGAUCACCUCCUAA
rnacentral:rRNA from 1 species